CAGCGUUCAGCAGUUAAUGUGAGACAAAUCAAUCCGCGCGCGUGUGUGGCCAUGAAAUUAAUAGCUUCUGGCGUGAUGAAAUCGGCGGCAAUCAUC
rnacentral:antisense_RNA from 1 species